rnacentral:rRNA from 1 species
CGGACGGGUGAGUAACACGUGGGUAACCUGCCUGUAAGACUGGGAUAACUCCGGGAAACCGGAGCUAAUACCGGAUAGUUCCUUGAACCGCAUGGUUCAAGGAUGAAAGACGGUUUCGGCUGUCACUUACAGAUGGACCCGCGGCGCAUUAGCUAGUUGGUGAGGUAACGGCUCACCAAGGCGACGAUGCGUAGCCGACCUGAGAGGGUGAUCGGCCACACUGGGACUGAGACACGGCCCAG